rnacentral:rRNA from 1 species
AGCGUUGUUCGGAAUUACUGGGCGUAAAGCGCACGUAGGCGGAUACUUAAGUUAGGGGUGAAAUCCCAGGGCUCAACCCUGGAACUGCCUCUAAUACUGGGUAUCUCGAGUCCGAGAGAGGUGAGUGGAAUUCCGAGUGUAG